rnacentral:lncRNA from 1 species
AAGUGUACGAUAGCAUCUCAUACUACUUUUCAGGCUGUGCACCGCAUAGCCCACCACAGCUGUGCACCACAUGAUCGAGUCCAGAAUGACUCGAUCAGCUCAUGCAGGCGAGCUUGCUGCCAACGGUGUGCUUCUCUCGAUUACUUCAGUGUGUCUUGAACACCCACAAGCACAGCACUCUGUGCACCCUCCACACUUCCACGCAGACCUCUCUUUAGAGGCGUGAAGAGACUAAGCAGUCGGAAUAUAUGAGUAAAGUUCACACUUGAAAAAAUACAGCUCGCUACUUCGAUCAGGUGGCGGCGACAAUGGGAAGGGACCGCGCCGGUAGGGCAAACAGCGUGACGAGCGCCCCCGCACGGCAGGAACCGGAAGAGCGCCACUCCGUGCGCCAUAGCUUUCAAACUGAAAGGACUCCGAAAAAGUUAUCACCCAACUGGCAACCCCCGUGCUUUCUCUGGCUUCAUUACUUAUUUGUCACAGAGUUGCAACUAAUAAAGAAUAAAGCCACUCAGUUCCCCUAAUUAUUGUUCUUCAAGAUGUGUCUGUGCCAGAGAAUAUUGAAUCAUCUAAUAGUAGCCUACUUAUCUGGCUUGGAAUAGUGUUCCAGCCAUGUCUUGUUCUACAGAAAGAAACAAACCAUGUGUUCUUGUAGUUAAAGCUAUACAUGUUUCUUGGUGUUCUGCCUGCAAAAAAGCUGUUGAGAGUCACUGUGGCAUCUGUUUUGCUCAGGCAGUCACAUGUCAGCUUUCUAUAUGAACACUCUUGUUUCACUGCAAAUGUCAUUGAUUCCGCAUGAAGCUGACAGAGGGCAAUAGUGGCGUAUGGCAAUGCUAGAAAGAAUCCAUGUGUCACUGGACUUUUAUUUCUGCUCUGCUUGACAUGUCGUAAGAAACAGCUCUAACACCUAUUUACUGUGCGGCGAGAAUUGUGUUGCUGCCUGCCAGCUUUCACAAAAUACGCCUCCAUCUAUUUUGCUUCUUGCGAUUGUACUGUUUGUUCUCUUGGGCUUUUCAGUGAUAACACCUGUUGGACACUUUUGAGGUGGGAAGGAUCUUGUUGUUUUUGAGGUCUUCAUAAAAGCAGUGCCACACCUUUUAGAACACAACACUUUUUUUUGUCUCUUUUUUUUCUGAACUAGAUUACAUUCAGGACAAUGCAAAGCACACACAGCGAUAUCUAAAGGCCACACGACAGUUUACUGGGUUUCUCCAAUAGGAAGCACUGGAGUGUAAAGUGCUUUGGGAACUUCAUUAUGAACACCCAAUGCAGUAUAAGUCAGUAGUCAUGUCAUGCUGGGCAUAAUGUCGUGGGUUUAAUUCCUGGCUCUGAUGAUGACUGUAUUGUAGUGGAUGCAGAACGCAAAAACAUUCACGUGCUGCACAUUAAACCAGCUACAAGCAUCAGCUUGGUGUUGUUGAAGGCUUAAUUUCUGUUGAAACUGUCUGUAUACGUAUAUUAUGUAACAAAAAGAAAGUGCCAUGGCAUAUGUACAGUAGUGAAAAAAUGUGCUCUGUUAUAAUUCCUGUACAAUAAUCACUAGAAACGUAGUGCGCAUUGUGAAGCAUUGCUAAGUUGCAGGGUUUCGAGCAUUUUCCUUGUAAAAGAAGUUUCACUACUGAAGUAAUCGUAAUUUCUACUGAUGGAAGCAUCGCCACAUUAGCAUUUGCAACACAAGUUUGGAGCAGUUGGGAAAUUCUUUGCAAUCUUAUGGCAUUGGCGGAAAGUUGCCGAGCUGCGCAAAAAUUUGCACGUGAACUGGUCCAUAAAAACUGAACACACGGUGCAGGAAAAUGCAGUUCACAGUUCAGUGCACAGAUUUACCAAUGUGCCAGUUCUAAAUCCGAUAUUUCCUGCCAUACCUACAUUGGCUGAAUGACUGCGUCACCAAUUUAUUAAAAGGCUUAUUUGCAGACUUCAUGCACAGCGUUGCACACACUGUGCAUGACCCUAAGUAAGUUUGUAGACUCUGAGGUCUCAAUGAAAGUUCACGUGAAGGUGAAUUUGGAAAUCUUUGUUAGUCUGCAUGUUUGCCGCAAGUGAACUGCAACACAGCUGUUUUGAGAAGCAGUUGCUUACUUUGUCUAUUGCUGGCUAUGCUGGUGUAGAAGGAAAUUAUUUUGACAGUGAAGUUCCUGAAGACUUCAUUGCGUGUUGUACUUUAACAUCCUAUCCCUCAAAUUUGUAAUCAGUGAAUGUUUUGCAGGUUAGUACUGUUCCCUGGGGAUCAUCAGAAACACUUCCAGGCUCAUCUGAACGCAGCUUUCGAGGCACAGGUGGUGCGAUUUACUAAUGUGGACCACAUCAGAGCCCGCUACGCAAGCUCGGGUUCCUCAAACUUCCCGCCAGUACAAACUUCUCCUACAGCCUCGGAAGACACAGCUCAUCCGUCUGUUCCGAUGUCUAGUGGGCCAGUCGCCAUGCCACCUCUCGCGGUUCCAGGCGCAACAGAGUGUGCAAAUCAUCAGCUUCUGGUACCUGAAUCGCCCACACCUGGAACAGCUGCCCCCCGGCUCGUCGAACCAGCCAGACCCUGCAUUUACAGCCGAGCUGCAAAUUCUUCAUCGUAGUGCACGUGUGCGACAUCCCCCGAACAGAUGCCAACUCAGUGACUUUCGGAAUUGAUCUAAGGGGGAAGAAGUGUUAUAGCGUGACGUCGCAUGUCAGUGCGCGCAUUCCUUUUGUAUCGGAUCAUGUGAUCCCUUGUCUAUAUAAGUGCACUGUCAAAUAAACGGUCACCCU